UGCCCAACUCCCUAUUUUGUAUUCCUUAUAGGAGUUAUGAGAUUGAUCACUGUUUGUUAUCUUCACCUUUCAUGUAACAUUUUAAUUUUACCUUUGUCUUUUGUUCACUAAGACUGCCGGUAUCCUGAAUUGGAUUUGGAAAGGGGCUUGGCAGAAUCUCCUAGGACAUGGUAUGCAGUGUUAAAAGUGAUGGACUGAAGUUAUUGUUCUAAAAUGCACAUGAACCAUUAGCCCAAUGUAGGCCAAUAUUAAGUAUAACUAUGUAUAAAACUCAUAUUUUUAUUGCAUAUCCACUGAAGUGUGAUGGAACUGAAGCCCUUCCUAUUGAUAAAUCUACAGAUAUGUCUUCCAUUGCCUUUACCUCCAGUGGGAAUGUGGCGUUCAUUGAUGCAACCUGAUUCAUGGACAAACAUGAUCCUGAAACUUUUAUGCAAUUGUUCUCAUCUAAGACCUUUGUCACAGGACAAACUGUCACAAAAAUCAACUAUUUUCCAGCUGAAUCAGAACCACUGUGAGUUUGUUACAACUGACUUUGGGCUGCGUUCUCAAACACACGCACUUUAAGUCGUAAGGCAGUUGGAUUUGGUACUGGUGAAGGUUGAAAUCAUGGUUCUGAAGAAUGAGUUAUGAUGGAAGUGAUACAAUGAUGGGACACUUAACAUCAUACCAGAAUUAAAAGAGUCAAUAUAAAGAUUCUUGAAUGAUCAACUUCCAUUGGGGAUGAAGGAUGAAUGAGAAAUCUGUAAAUGAUAUUUUGAUUCAAAUUAAGUUAUAUUUUAUAUAUAAUGAUUCAGAAACAUGCUUGCUACCCAAUCUCGCCUGUAUUAAAAAUUAUGCAUGUUGCAUAAGCAGUAUCUAUUGCAUUAGAUUAGAAUAAAACUUUCUUAUGAUAUAAAGAUUUUUUUUUAAAAAUAAAAUUAAUAUGACAGCUGGUUUUGAUUUGUUCUGUUUU